rnacentral:lncRNA from 1 species
CUUUAUUGCCAGCCCUCCUCGGUGCCAACAUGGCUUUGUCUUACUCUGGAGAUGUCUGUGAGAACGGGGGACGAGGACGGGCAAAGUGUCAGGCUCUUGAUGCUGCUGAAAAUCCUUUGAGAUGGGAGAAAUUGCUGAAACAAAGGCGCAGCGAACAAAAAGGCCUGAAAGGCUCGCACCAGCCUCUGAGGGUCUUUAUCAUCUUAAACCUUGGGAUUUAGAGCGUCUAGCUUCUGCCUUUCCCAGGGAUAGUUUGGCAGGGAUACGCAAAGAGCUAAAAGAGCGGGGCCCGGGAAGCUGGUUGGAUGACAGCCUCAGAGCAGAGAAGUUCCGUGGGAGACAAAGUCUGGUUAACAUUGCAGGGGUUUCUCUCGCUCCCUUC